CUCGUAGUUGGAUUUCUGGUGGGAGCGGUCGGUGCGGUCCUCAGGAUUGCUACUCGUACCGUCUCUCGCCAUCCUUGGGUCGAUCCUGUCUGGCAUUAAGUUGUCGGGCAGGGGAUGCCCAUCGUUUACUGUGAAAAAAUUAGAGUGUUCAAAGCAGGCUUAUGCCGUUGAAUAUAUUAGCAUGGAAUAAUAAGAUAGGACUUUGGUACUAUUUUGUUGGUUUGCGCACCAAAGUAAUGAUUAAUAGGGACAGUUGGGGGUAUUCGUAUUCCGUUGUCAGAGGUGAAAUUCUUGGAUUUCCGGAAGACGAACUACUGCGAAAGCAUUUACCAA
rnacentral:rRNA from 1 species